rnacentral:rRNA from 1 species
GGCCGCGGGAAUUCGAUUCAGGCCUAACACAUGCAAGUCGAACGGUGAAGCCCAGCUUGCUGGGUGGAUCAGUGGCGAACGGGUGAGUAACACGUGAGCAAUCUGCCCCUGACUCUGGGAUAAGCGCUGGAAACGGCGUCUAAUACUGGAUAUGAACCGUGGAGGCAUCUUCAACGGUUGGAAAGAUUUUUUGGUCAGGGAUGAGCUCGCGGCCUAUCAGCUUGUUGGUGAGGUAAUGGCUCACCAAGGCGUCGACGGGUAGCCGGCCUGAGAGGGUGACCGGCCACACUGGGACUGAGACACGGCCCAGACUCCUACGGGAGGCAGCAGUGGGGAAUAUUGCACAAUAAGGGCAAGCCUGAUGCAGCA